GACGAACGCUGGCGGCGUGCCUAACACAUGCAAGUCGAGCGAAUGAAGUUCCUUCGGGAAUGGAUUUAGCGGCGGACGGGUGAGUAACACGUGGGCAACCUGCCUCAUAGAGGGGAAUAGCCUCCCGAAAGGGAGAUUAAUACCGCAUAAGAUUGUAGUACCGCAUGAUACAGCAAUUAAAGGAGCAAUCCGCUAUGAGAUGGGCCCGCGGCGCAUUAGCUAGUUGGUGAGGUAAUGGCUCACCAAGGCGACGAUGCGUAGCCGACCUGAGAGGGUGAUCGGCCACAUUGGGACUGAGACACGGCCCAGACUCCUACGGGAGGCAGCAGUGGGGAAUAUUGCACAAUGGGGGAAACCCUGAUGCAGCAACGCCGCGUGAGUGAUGACGGCCUUCGGGUUGUAAGGCUCUGUCUUCAGGGACGAUAAUGACGGUACCUGAGGAGGAAGCCACGGCUAACUACGUG
rnacentral:rRNA from 1 species